CAUUUGUUCGCCACGCAACAAAACUACAGUAACGGCCGCUGUUUAGGUUUAGGCAACAAAACCACUCACUUAGAUUUAGGAAAAACAUCAUGGCUGGACUCAAAAUAACUACGUGAACUAAGUAAAAUACGUACAGAAACAAUGUAACAGAAGUAGGGAAAACACGUCACAAACGUAACUUCAAAAUAAGACUUUGGAACACAAAUGCCAGUCUCCUGGUUGAAAGACAGAUAGGAGGUAAACACAGUGUGUUUGUUUGUGUGUCGAUAAGAUUUAAGCUGUCUUGUCAUCACACUUUAAUCAGACGAGACACAGAGCGAUGACACAAACCGAUGACACAAACCGAGCCCUGUCCCUUAAAAUACACUAAAUACACAAUAGAUUGCCUGUGAUGUGAGUACAGGCGGCCUGUGGGUCGAGUUAACAAGAUAAUAGUGAAAUGCAGCCGGUGGAAAAGAGAAGAGUUUAACUCUGAAAUCAGACCAAAGCUGUCAUGUCAUUGCUAUGUAUAUAUUUGUUUUUGAACAAAAUGUUAUUCACUUUUGUACAUUUGGAAUAUACAAAGCUACGUUGUCAGGACAUUUUUACAAAAGGAACUAUUCACAGUUUGGCAAACAAACAUUAUAAUUAAAAUGAUAAAUCAUAGCAUUGUGUGCAUCCACAUAGAGAGGAGUCUCAAAAAAACUUAAAAGAGACAGAUGUUGGGUACAGCACCUUAUUACUUUGGCAAUCUAAAAUAAGUAAUUACACUUUCAUUAACCUGUCUGCCGUUGAUGUAGUGUCGGUGGUUUGAGCCAAGAUAAAGUUAUAAUUUUUUGCCAGCAAUAAAAAGAUAUACAGCAAGUAGGCUUUAUCUUUUCCCAACACAUUCUCACUCCCGAUUCGUCACAUAACGCCGCUUGGUCAGUGCCCCUCGGCAUCAGAGACGGACGCACAGGGUACCCGUCUUACGUUACUUUUGUGUGAAUACACGCUCGUUACAUGCAUAGUGUCCUUUCAAAAUAAAAUUCUGUUUUCACAGGAAGUUAGGUUUAGGCAACACAACCACUCAGUUAGUGUUAGGAAACAGUCGUUGGUGACGUUAACUUCACUCUCUAGCAACUCAACGUGACAAAAUAAGUCAACGUUACUUUUAGAUUUCACACAGGACAUAAACAGCGGUCUCCUGGUUGAAAGUCUUGCGUUUCUUUGACCCAUCAAUCAACCCCUCCCACCCUCCCUUAGCUGACGCUCACGCUAUUAGUGGUAAGUCACUUACUCCGACCGUCAAAUAACGCCCUGGGUGGGUUUACAUUAGAGUUAGUUGGUUAGUCACAUGCUGUUGCUACCGCACAACGGUUUCCAAUGCUGAGAGGCACUGACCAAACGGCGGAAUUUGGUAAGUUGGGAGUGAGAAUGUGUUGCUUCAUACUGUAUAUAUAUCAUAUAUAUAAUAUAUAAUAAAUAAUAUAAAACAAUGGGUCUUGUGGUAAAUCAAUGUUCAAAAUGGCAAAUACAUAUUUCUGUAGUAUGAUUUCAACUUUGGUCAUUGCUAUAUUAUUAAAUCUAUGCUAAUAAAUUAGUAACUUAUUUCUAAUUCUAAGCCUUAAAUAUCUGUAGAAAUGGUCAUGCAUCAUUUCAUUGCUCAUUUUGAAAUGAAGCUUGUCAGCAAACCCUGGCAUGAAAACAUAUUUUGAAGAAUCUUGAGGCCUGUGUCAUUCUGACAUUACUGAAAUCACAUGGUCAUGAUUCACACAUUACCCCGUGAUGAUCAGUUUGUAAAUGGUGAGAGAUGUAUACCCAUGACUUUAAGGUCACCACAAUCCAUGACAAAGUGAAAAACGGAUGAAGAAAAAGUGCAUUUCUGAGCACUUCUGUUUUUUUGAUUGUGCUGUGCUUGUUCCCAUUGUUCCCUGAUAAAGCCUCAUGAUUAGAUUUUUUUUCCAUUUCUUUAAGUCAGACCACAGAGCGUAACUCCCCGUCAUCCUCACCCCACUAUGAUUCAGCAGGAAAGACUGCAGUACUGUAUCCGGACUUCUGCGUCGCUCUGUUAUCCACCCACUCCUCUUUCUGUGGAGAAUGUGAAGACUCACAGAUCAAUGUUAUGGAUUCUUCCAGAAUUCCACUCUACAUUGCGCUGCCGUAUGUACCAGUCUCGUGGUCGACCUCUGACCUUUGGUUAGGCUUCUCUGGCUUAUCUCGCCUCCCUGAUUGGAGACACAGUUAUGCGCAGAAUGCUGGGGGGAUAAAACGUUGAUUGGAUACAAGUUUAGGGAGGCAAAGAUUUCUCAUGUGAGCAGGUUAUCAGCAGACAGUCACACACAACCACAGAGCCACUGUAUGUGAGGCUGGCAGUUGGGAUGGAAAACCACAUAGAAUAAUGCAUCUUAUCAGUCCGUCUCCAGCUUCCUCUCUCUAACUCGUAACAGGCAGAUUACUCAACGGAUUCCCGCUUAGUUUCUUUUCUUGUUUCGUCCUAGCUUGAACAGUAAUAGUCCUCACAGCCCGACGACGGAGCGGCCAAACAGCCUCUUGAGAAAACUCUGAGUUUUUGGAACAGAUCCAGAAACGGCAGGAAGAGCUGGUUCCCAUGAAUGUUUAGUGUUCAGUCCAAACUGAGCUGAACUGAGACGACCAGAGAUGAAGUGAUACAUGUUGCAUAUCCUCAAGCUAGAGGGAUUUAAACUAGAUUUACAGUAAAAGUCAUCAUCCCCUGACAACAUUUUUAGUUGAAGCUGGAUUCAUGAAGUAAGAGACCGUCUGCUCUGGAGAGGAUUCAAUUUAAUUAUACUUGGUUGCUAUGGUUACUGCAUCAGGGUAUUAGACGAAGGGCCUAAAUUGAAUUGGCACAGAGGAUGGACUUGACAAAUCACCUGUGCAGAGUAGCAGCUUCAAAUAGUAUUGUCUGAAAGGGAAAGCAUGCAUCCGAGGGAAAUAGCUUUUUAAAAUUGAUUUAGACUGAUUUGAACACAGACACAGUAUGCCAGACAGCUAAACCUGAAUCAAUCAACAUUUUUAUAUUAACAUUGAAUCAGAUAAGUAUGUGUGAUGUGAUUGGGUUCAUAAACCAUUGUAAUUGUCAUUUAACUUUGCAGCUCUACAAAGCUUUUCAGCCUCUUGUUUUUUCAUCGUAGAUGUAGAUCCACAUUUAAUGUGAUGAUAUGGUUGAACUUCACAACUCUCAACAACCCUGUUUUCAGCAGCACCAGGAAACCUCAGGUGAACCCACUGUACGCUACUUACUCAACACCUAAAGGCUGGAGUAGAAAGUCAAACAUAUAGCAACAUAAUGAGCCACAAUGUUCUCUGGUGUAGCCCACCAGGCGGGGCAUGCUGGGAAAGCUCUUCCGCAUGCUCAUGCACUUCUCCUGGUCCAGGAAGAGUGAGUUGGCCUUGAUGGACAGGUCGUGCUC